rnacentral:rRNA from 1 species
GAGCUUGCUCCCGGAUGUUAGCGGCGGACGGGUGAGUAACACGUGGGUAACCUGCCUGUAAGACUGGGAUAACUCCGGGAAACCGGAGCUAAUACCGGAUAGUUCCUUGAACCGCAUGGUUCAAGGAUGAAAGACGGUUUCGGCUGUCACUUACAGAUGGACCCGCGGCGCAUUAGCUAGUUGGUGGGGUAAUGGCUCACCAAGGCGACGAUGCGUAGCCGACCUGAGAGGGUGAUCGGCCACACUGGGACUGAGACACGGCCCAGACUCCUACGGGAGGCAGCAGUAGGGAAUCUUCCGCAAUGGACGAAAGUCUGACGGAGCAACGCCGCGUGAGUGAUGAAGGUUUUCGGAUCGUAAAGCUCUGUUGUUAGGGAAGAACAAGUGCGAGAGUAACUGCUCGCACCUUGACGGUACCUAACCAGAAAGCCACGGCUAACUACGUGCCAGCAGCCGCGGUAAUACGUAGGUGGCAAGCGUUGUCCGGAAUUAUUGGGCGUAAAGGGCUCGCAGGCGGUUUCUUAAGUCUGAUGUGAAAGCCCCCGGCUCAACCGGGGAGGGUCAUUGGAAACUGGGAAACUUGAGUGCAGAAGAGGAGAGUGGAAUUCCACGUGUAGCGGUGAAAUGCGUAGAGAUGUGGAGGAACACCAGUGGCGAAGGCGACUCUCUGGUCUGUAACUGACGCUGAGGAGCGAAAGCGUGGGGAGCGAACAGGAUUAGAUACCCUGGUAGUCCACGCCGUAAACGAUGAGUGCUAAGUGUUAGGGGGUUUCCGCCCCUUUAGUGCUGCAGCUAACGCAUUAAGCACUCCGCCUGGGGAGUACGGUCGCAAGACUGAAACUCAAAGGAAUUGACGGGGGCCCGCACAAGCGGUGGAGCAUGUGGUUUAAUUCGAAGCAACGCGAAGAACCUUACCAGGUCUUGACAUCCUCUGACAACCCUAGAGAUAGGGCUUUCCCUUCGGGGACAGAGUGACAGGUGGUGCAUGGUUGUCGUCAGCUCGUGUCGUGAGAUGUUGGGUUAAGUCCCGCAACGAGCGCAACCCUUGAUCUUAGUUGCCAGCAUUUAGUUGGGCACUCUAAGGUGACUGCCGGUGACAAACCGGAGGAAGGUGGGGAUGACGUCAAAUCAUCAUGCCCCUUAUGACCUGGGCUACACACGUGCUACAAUGGACAGAACAAAGGGCUGCGAGACCGCAAGGUUUAGCCAAUCCCAUAAAUCUGUUCUCAGUUCGGAUCGCAGUCUGCAACUCGACUGCGUGAAGCUGGAAUCGCUAGUAAUCGCGGAUCAGCUUGCCGCGGUGAAUACGUUCCCGUGCCUUGUACA